rnacentral:rRNA from 1 species
GAUGAACGCUGGCGGCGUGCCUAAUACAUGCAAGUCGAGCGAACAGAUGAGGAGCUUGCUCCUCUGACGUUAGCGGCGGACGGGUGAGUAACACGUGGAUAACCUACCUAUAAGACUGGGAUAACUUCGGGAAACCGGAGCUAAUACCGGAUAAUAUAUUGAACCGCAUGGUUCAAUAGUGAAAGACGGUUUUGCUGUCACUUAUAGAUGGAUCCGCGCCGCAUUAGCUAGUUGGUAAGGUAACGGCUUACCAAGGCAACGAUGCGUAGCCGACCUGAGAGGGUGAUCGGCCACACGGGAACUGAGACACGGUCCAGACUCCUACGGGAGGCAGCAGUAGGGAAUCUUCCGCAAUGGGCGAAAGCCUGACGGAGCAACGCCGCGUGAGUGAUGAAGGUCUUCGGAUCGUAAAACUCUGUUAUUAGGGAAGAACAAAUGUGUAAGUAACGAUGCACGUCUUGACGGUACCUAAGCAGAAAGCCACGGCUAACUACGU